CAGUGGGGAAUUUUGGACAAUGGGCGCAAGCCUGAUCCAGCCAUGCCGCGUGCGGGAAGAAGGCCUUCGGGUUGUAAACCGCUUUUGUCGGGGAAGAAACGGUGGAGGUUAAUACCUUCUGCUAAUGACGGUACCCGAAGAAUAAGCACCGGCUAACUACGUGCCAGCAGCCGCGGUAAUACGUAGGGUGCGAGCGUUAAUCGGAAUUACUGGGCGUAAAGCGUGCGCAGGCGGUUGUGUAAGACAGAUGUGAAAUCCCCGGGCUCAACCUGGGAACUGCAUUUGUGACUGCACGGCUGGAGUGCGGCAGAGGGGGAUGGAAUUCCGCGUGUAGCAGUGAAAUGCGUAGAUAUGCGGAGGAACACCGAUGGCGAAGGCAAUCCCCUGGGCCUGCACUGACGCUCAUGCACGAAAGCGUGGGGAGCAAACAGGAUUAGA
rnacentral:rRNA from 1 species